UACAGAGGUCCCAAGCGUUGUUCGGAUUCAUUGGGCGUAAAGGGUGCGUAGGCGGCGCGGCAAGUCGGUCGUGAAAUCUCGGGGCUUAACUCCGAAACUGCAUUCGAUACUGCCGUGCUUGAGGACUGGAGAGGAGAAUGGAAUUUACGGUGUAGCGGUGAAAUGCGUAGAUAUCGUAAGGAAGACCAGUGGCGAAGGCGGGUCUCUGGACAGUUCCUGACGCUGAGGCACGAAAGUCAGGGGAGCGAACGGG
rnacentral:rRNA from 1 species